rnacentral:rRNA from 1 species
GAUGAACGCUAGCUACAGGCUUAACACAUGCAAGUCGAGGGGAAACGAUAGAGAAAGCUUGCUUUUUCUAGGCGUCGACCGGCGCACGGGUGAGUAACGCGUAUCCAACCUGCCCAUCACUUGGGGAUAACCUUGCGAAAGUAAGACUAAUACCCAAUGACGUCUCUAGAAGACAUCUGAAAGAGAUUAACGAUUUAUCGGUGAUGGAUGGGGAUGCGUCUGGUUAGCUUGUUGGCGGGGUAACGGCCCACCAAGGCGACGAUCAGUAGGGGUUCUGAGAGGAAGGUCCCCCACAUUGGAACUGAGACACGGUCCAAACUCCUACGGGAGGCAGCAGUGAGGAAUAUUGGUCAAUGGGCGAGAGCCUGAACCAGCCAAGUAGCGUGCAGGAUGACGGCCCUAUGGGUUGUAAACUGCUUUUAUAAGGGAAUAAAGUGAGAGUCGUGACUCUUUUUGCAUGUACCUUAUGAAUAAGGACCGGCUAAUUCCGUGCCAGCAGCCGCAGUAA